CUGGGGGGGCCGAAACAGAGAAGGAAGAACUAGGCUCUUCCAAAGUUAGUGGCGGACGGGUUUAUUAACACGUGGGCAACCUGCCUGUAAGUUGGGGAUAACUCCGGGAAACCGGGGCUAAUACCGAAUGAUAGAGUGUGGCGCAUGCCACGCUCUUGAAAGAUGGUUUCGGCUAUCGCUUACAGAUGGGCCCGCGGUGCAUUAGCUAGUUGGUAGGGUAAUGGCCUACCAAGGCAACGAUGCAUAGCCGACCUGAGAGGGUGAUCGGCCACACUGGGACUGAGACUCGGCCCAGACUCCUACGGGAGGCAGCAGUAGGGAAUCUUCCGCAAUGGACGAAAGUCUGACGGAGCAACGCCGCGUGUAUGAAGAAGGUUUUCGGAUCGUAAAGUACUGUUGUUAGAGAAGAACAAGGAUAAGAGUAACUGCUUGUCCCUUGACGGUAUCUAACCAGAAAGCCACGGCUAACUACGUGCCAGCAGCCGCGGUAAUACGUAGGUGGCAAGCGUUGUCCGGAUUUAUUGGGCGUAAAGCGCGCGCAGGCGGUCUUUUAAGUCUGAUGUGAAAGCCCCCGGCUUAACCGGGGAGGGUCAUUGGAAACUGGAAGACUGGAGUGCAGAAGAGGAGAGUGGAAUUCCACGUGUAGCGGUGAAAUGCGUAGAUAUGUGGAGGAACACCAGUGGCGAAGGCGACUCUCUGGUCUGUAACUGACGCUGAGGCGCGAAAGCGUGGGGAGCAAACAGGAUUAGAUACCCUGGUAGUCCACGCCGUAAACGAUGAGUGCUAAGUGUUAGGGGGUUUCCGCCCCUUAGUGCUGCAGCUAACGCAUUAAGCACUCCGCCUGGGGAGUACGACCGCAAGGUUGAAACUCAAAGGAAUUGACGGGGGCCCGCACAAGCGGUGGAGCAUGUGGUUUAAUUCGAAGCAACGCGAAGAACCUUACCAGGUCUUGACAUCCUUUGACCACUCUGGAGACAGAGCUUUCCCUUCGGGGACAAAGUGACAGGUGGUGCAUGGUUGUCGUCAGCUCGUGUCGUGAGAUGUUGGGUUAAGUCCCGCAACGAGCGCAACCCUUGAUUUUAGUUGCCAGCAUUUAGUUGGGCACUCUAAAGUGACGCCGGUGCAAGCCGGAGGAAGGUGGGGAUGACGUCAAAUCAUCAUGCCCCUUAUGACCUGGGCUACACACGUGCUACAAUGGAUGGUACAAAGGGUCGCGAAGCCGCGAGGUGGAGCCAAUCCCAUAAAACCAUUCUCAGUUCGGAUUGUAGGCUGCAACUCGCCUACAUGAAGCCGGAAUCGCUAGUAAUCGUGGAUCAGCAUGCCACGGUGAAUACGUUCCCGGGCCUUGUACACACCGCCCGUCACACCACGAGAGUUUGUUAUAUCCGAAGUCGGCAGGGUAUACCCCCUAUGAUGCGAAGCCCG
rnacentral:rRNA from 1 species